UAUCGGGAGGAACACCAGUAGCGAAGGCGGUUCUCUGGGCCUGUAUUGACGCUUGAGGAGCGAAAGCGUUGGGGAGCAAACAGGAUUAGAUACCCUGGUAGUCCACGCCGUAAACGUUGGGUACUAGGUGUGGCGAUCUGUCUAACGAUUGCCGUGCCGAAGCUAACGCAUUAAGUACCCCGCCUGGGGAGUACGGCCGCAAGGCUAAAACUCAAAGGAAUUGACGGGUCCCCGCACAAGCGGCGGAGCAUGCGGCUUAAUUCGAUGCAACCCGAAGAACCUUACCUGGACUUGACAUCAUGGGAAAAGCCGUGGAAACACGGUGUGCAUUAGCGUCCAUGACAGGUGGUGCAUGGCUGUCGUCAGCUCGUGUCGUGAGAUGUUGGGUUAAGUCCCGCAACGAGCGCAACCCUUGUCCUAUGUUGCCAGCAGUUCGGCCGGGGACUCAUGGGAGACUGCCGGGGAUAACUCGGAGGAAGGUGAGGACGACGUCAAGUCAUCAUGCCCCUUAUGUCCAGGG
rnacentral:rRNA from 1 species